GACGAACGCUGGCGGCGUGCUUAACACAUGCAAGUCGAACGGAAAGGCCCUGCUUUUGUGGGGUGCUCGAGUGGCGAACGGGUGAGUAACACGUGAGUAACCUGCCCUUGACUUUGGGAUAACUUCAGGAAACUGGGGCUAAUACCGGAUAGGAGCUCCUGCUGCAUGGUGGGGGUUGGAAAGAUUCGGCGGUUGGGGAUGGACUCGCGGCUUAUCAGCUUGUUGGUGGGGUAGUGGCUUACCAAGGCUUUGACGGGUAGCCGGCCUGAGAGGGUGACCGGCCACAUUGGGACUGAGAUACGGCCCAGACUCCUACGGGAGGCAGCAGUGGGGAAUAUUGCACAAUGGGCGGAAGCCUGAUGCAGCAACGCCGCGUGCGGGAUGACGGCCUUCGGGUUGUAAACCGCUUUCGCCUGUGACGAAGCGUGAGUGACGGUAAUGGGUAAAGAAGCACCGGCUAACUACGUG
rnacentral:rRNA from 1 species